rnacentral:misc_RNA from 1 species
UGUCCCGGUUGGUUGGAUCCCUGUCUUGGCAGCGACAACCGCUUGGUCUUACAUGUUCAUUCUGUCGGAGAGCUUUAUAAUUAGGCCCUUGGAUGAGACUGGUGCCCUGCGCAAUAUACCUUUUAUGAUGGAAUGUCACAGUCCCAUAGUCCCUAAUUAAUCUCGCGCACUUUAUUUUGUGCGAGAUUGACAAUGAAUCUAACAUGGCCUCCCUCUCUUUCAUUUCCUUUUGGUUUUUGUAAGUGUUGGAAGGUCAUGUUGCAAGAAAUCUUGAAUGCAGAACCAGUAAUCGGUUAUGGUCCUUGCCCGUACUUUUCCGAUAUAAAUGUCCCUCACGAAUGUCCGUCGUGCCUUGUGUUGACUCAAGGAUGCUAAUGUAUCUUUUGAUCAUGCUUGGCCCUCGGCAAGAAGGAAUGC